GGAGCCGGUCAUUUGAGUAUGGAGAGACGACGGCUUGAGAUGAACUCAAGAACUUGCUCUUUGAAAGCGGCAAUGUCAAGAAAUUGAAGGCACUAUUUGGCUCACCCAUGAGAAGCGCAAAAUAUAAUACAUGGAGGUAUUAGGCUGUUUACUGAAAUAUCACCACACUGCAGUACCAGUGGAUUCCGACAAAUCUUGCAGGUUCAGGCGA